UUCCGAUGCAUGACGCAAUUAAUCCACUGUUGAUUGGUAUUCUGCCACUGCAUGUAGGGAUGUUUGUUUGUUUGUUUGUUUGGGCGGCUGAAACUGAAUUAGAGGCGGGAAAUGGUGCGUGGAAGGGCACGACGACUACGUCGAAAGAUGGUGAGGUUUCAUCAGUCUUGACAAACUGCUCACCCAGGGUGUUUCAGCAUUUUGUACACAAAAGACACAGAGACAGUGUAGACAGACGUAGACGAAGCGCUGUCUAACUACGCUGUCCCUGUAUCCUUUGUCAGGUAAAUGGUAAAAAAAAUGGAAUUACCGACAUGUCCCAACUUACAUUCUUCCAUGCAUAUUUAGGCGGGCGCUAAACAUUUCAUCCAAACCCUAUAUGGUACUGCUCACUGACGUAAUCACAGCAGCCGUAAUUUUCUACAGCUAGCAAGCACCGUUGGAAAGCUGCGAGCUUUUUCGGUACACUUAUAUCUAACAGUGUUGCGAAAGCAGUGAGUAGACCCACAGUUAAAUGUCCUUCGCGAUCACAUGGGCACUACCUAGAGAACGGUAACAAAAUAAAAAUGCAAGACGUCUUUCAAAUGAACCUUGUGCAUCACCGAUACUUCGACACUUCGAGCCACCAGAACGUUGAAUGCAACAGGGCUCGUGCACCUUGCACUGGGCGCACGUUGAAGAACGUCCAAAGUUAACCCGGAGCUUCCCACUACAGCGUCCCUCGUAAUAUGCCGUGCAGUAUCGAGACGUCAAACCCCAAAUUUUAAUUUAAAGCAUCGUAAUGCACCGCCG
rnacentral:lncRNA from 1 species